ACCUAAGACUGCUGGCAGUCCAUGAUAGAUAGUUUGUGUUCUUUGGACAGUGAUGUGUCAAUAAGCUCGUCAAUCUGACUUCUACAGGCAUGGGAUGGAGCAGUGUUCUUGAACUAGCAGGAGUGCCAUUGCUGUUGACCAUUUAACAGUUCAAGCAACUCAUUUGUUGUGAGUAAAGGUCAAUGGGAAUAUCUAAAGCCAUCAAACUUGGGCUUCAUUGGUUGAUAUCAGAAGAUAUACUCUUUGUAGGAUUCUGAUUAUGGGUGGCAUGGGGAGAGGGUUAGAGUAUCAAUAGUACAUCCAUCAUCCAUGACGAUUGACUGAUUGAGGAGCCUUCCCAUGCCAUAUUUCAUCAGAUAACGCAGGCAUAAGACAUAAAAAGAAGUAGGUGUUUGGAACUGGUCAACAUACAUUCCCUGACUGCAAUGUUGACCAUAAGCUCUCUCUCUCUCUCUCUCCGUCUCGGGAAAGAAACCCAGUAGCGAUUUCUUUGUGUGAUUGACCUGCUCAGGCGAAUCUACAAAAGGC